rnacentral:rRNA from 1 species
AAUAGAUACCCAGGUAGUCCACGCCGUAAACGAUGAGUGCUAAGUGUUAGGGGGUUUCCGCCCCUUAGUGCUGCAGCUAACGCAUUAAGCACUCCGCCUGGGGAGUACGGUCGCAAGACUGAAACUCAAAGGAAUUGACGGGGGCCCGCACAAGCGGUGGAGCAUGUGGUUUAAUUCGAAGCAACGCGAAGAACCUUACCAGGUCUUGACAUCCCACUGACCGCUAUGGAGACAUAGUUUUCCCUUCGGGGACAGUGGUGACAGGUGGUGCAUGGUUGUCGUCAGCUCGUGUCGUGAGAUGUUGGGUUAAGUCCCGCAACGAGCGCAACCCUUGAUCUUAGUUGCCAUCAUUUAGUUGGGCACUCUAAGGUGACUGCCGGUGACAAACCGGAGGAAGGUGGGAGUGACGUCAAAUCAUCAUGCCCCUUAUGACCUGGGCUACACACGUGCUACAAUGGACGAUACAAACGGUUGCCAACCCGCGAGGGGAGCUAAUCCGAUAAAACCGUUCUCAGUUCGGAUUGUAGGCUGCAACUCGCCUA